rnacentral:rRNA from 1 species
GGCGGACGGGUGAGUAACACGUGGGCAACCUGCCUGUAAGACUGGGAUAACUUCGGGAAACCGAAGCUAAUACCGGAUAGGAUCUUCUCCUUCAUGGGAGAUGAUUGAAAGAUGGUUUCGGCUAUCACUUACAGAUGGGCCCGCGGUGCAUUAGCUAGUUGGUGAGGUAACGGCUCACCAAGGCAACGAUGCAUAGCCGACCUGAGAGGGUGAUCGGCCACACUGGGACUGAGACACGGCCCAAACUCCUACGGGAGGCAGCAGUAGGGAAUCUUCCGCAAUGGACGAAAGUCUGACGGAGCAACGCCGCGUGAGUGAUGAAGGCUUUCGGGUCGUAAAACUCUGUUGUUAGGGAAGAACAAGUACAAGAGUAACUGCUUGUACCUUGACGGUACCUAACCAGAAAGCCACGGCUAACUACGUGCCAGCAGCCGCGGUAAUACGUAGGUGGCAAGCGUUAUCCGGAAUUAUUGGGCGUAAAGCGCGCGCAGGCGGUUUCUUAAGUCUGAUGUGAAAGCCCACGGCUCAACCGUGGAGGGUCAUUGGAAACUGGGGAACUUGAGUGCAGAAAAGAAAAGCGGAAUUCCACGUGUAGCGGUGAAAUGCGUAGAGAUGUGGAGGAACACCAGUGGCGAAGGCGGCUUUUUGGUCUGUAACUGACGCUGAGGCGCGAAAGCGUGGGGAGCAAACAGGAUUAGAUACCCUGGUAGUCCACGCCGUAAACGAUGAGUGCUAAGUGUUAGAGGGUUUCCGCCCUUUAGUGCUGCAGCUAACGCAUUA